rnacentral:lncRNA from 10 species
GGGGACAAAAUGGAAGCGGAAGCAGCCGGGCGAGGAAUCCACGUGGGCUGGUCUGGGCUGUGUGAAGUAUAGAGAAAAGGCUUUUCAGGACUGCAUGUGACGAUGCCUGCGGGCUUUGUAAAGGCCAAGAAAAUAUUUGGGACUGUAGGGGUCAGUCAGAAGCAAAGUUUCACCAAUCUUUAUUUUGCUUGCAGUUCCGUAGACUUCAAGCUGACAAAUGGCAGAGGUUUGUGGUUUGCGUUUUUUAAAAAGCUUUCUCCAAAAUGAAUUUGUCGUUUCACGGAGAUCCCACCAUUACAUCUCAUUACAUCCCUAAAUGUUACUUUCUCACCUUAAAACAUUUAGCACCAAAAAAAAAAGUGAGAAAAAAACAUUUAGCACCAAUUAUAUACUAACUAUGCAGUAGUGAUUUAGUCUUGGCAAACACAAAGGGCUUACUUAUGUUGAAGGCGCUGUUUUGAGUGCCGUAUCACGUGAUUACUUACCCCUUUGUGGGAGGUCUUAUUUCCGUUUUACACCUGGGAAAACAGCGAUCCUUCCAAAGGUCACACUGCUAGUAAGCGGUGCAGCUGGGAUAUGAACCCGGGCAGUGUGACUCCCUUGUAUCUAUGUCAUGCUUCUCAGCUAAGAUCAGUCAUCUGUUAGAACUCGUGAGUGGCUGGACGUUUGUAGAAUGGAAAAUCUCAAACUAGCAUCCCAGAAAAAUCUGGGUUUUGAUCUCUUGGCUGUGUGGCCCUGUCCUGGUCAUUUACCCUCAAUGCAUCUACCUCUGAGAGAGGCAAGCAAAAGAAACAGGAAGGUGGCUGCUAUGGGGAAACAGUGGCAAGGAUAAACUGGCAGUACACAUGGUCUUUCCCAGUGGCAUUGUCAAACGGGGGGUGUCCAC